CUACGGGAGGCUCCAGUGGGGAAUAUUGGACAAUGGGGGAAACCCUGAUCCAGCAAUGCCGCGUGUGUGAAGAAGGCCUGCGGGUUGUAAAGCACUUUCGGUUGGGAGGACUGCUUCUAGCACUAAUAUUGUUGGAAGUUGACGUUACCUUCAGAAGAAGCACCGGCUAACUCCGUGCCAGCGGCCGCGGUAAUACGGAUGGUGCAAGCGUUAAUCGGAAUUACUGGGCGUAAAGCGCGCGUAGGCGGCUAGAUCAGUCGGGUGUGAAAGCCCCGGGCUUAACCUGGGAACUGCAUCCGAUACUGUCUAGCUUGAGUACAGGAGAGGAGAGUGGAAUUCCACAUGUAGCGGUGAAAUGCGUAGAUAUGUGGAGGAACACCAAUGGCGAAGGCAGCUCUCUGGCCUGAUACUGACGCUGAGGUGCGAAAGCGUGGGGAGCAAACAGGAUUAGAUACCCGUGUAGUC
rnacentral:rRNA from 1 species